AACAAAAAACCCUGCAUCAUCAUCAUGUACACAAUAUAAUGUGUGCGUGUGUGUGUGGGGGAAAUAUCUGAAGAGAGAGCCCUUGGGGAUUACGGAUGAAGCAUCAUUCUUAAAAAAAUGUGUGCAUGAUCCGCUCCGGCGUUUGUGUGUGUUCUCCGUUUUUUAGAUUCUUGUUUCUUGUUCCUUUUUGAAUGUAUGAAAUGAGGAUCUAUUAUUUUUGGGGAGCGCGCGUGCAAUAACAAACAAAAAAACUCACAAGAGAAAUUAGUAAAAAAAAAAAGUGGUUCUUGUUUGUUUGUGUGUAAAAUGUGUGUUGUCGUCACAUCAUGUGUGUGUGUAUUGUGUGUGUGUGCGUGUUGUGUUUUAUAUAUAUAUAUAUAUAAAACACGCUCUCGCUCACGCUCUUCCUCUCACACAGAGACGACGACGGCAGAAGCAGCACACAACACGACACAAAACCUCCUUUAUUUUUUUUGUUC
rnacentral:misc_RNA from 1 species